rnacentral:tRNA from 1 species
ACUUAUAUAGUUUAAUAUAAAACAUUACACUUUCAUAGUAAAAAUAAAAUUUAUUUUAUAAGUU